rnacentral:lncRNA from 1 species
AUUAACAAGUAAUCACUUAUCACGGAGCCCUGGUCCUUUUCUACAAUUAUUGAACUGAGCAACAGAUUAUCUUAGCUGCGCUUUUUCUAUAUAAACUAUUUGUGACAAUUUGAUGAAUACCCAUGCAUUAGUUUAUUUGUUCAUUGCUAUAGGAAAAUUGACUAGGGAAGAAAUUGAGAAGGAACUUAUGUCAACUGGACUGUCAUCUGAAGCUGUUCUUUGUGCUGAAUUUGUUGUUAACCUGGCAAUUUGGCUUUCUUUAUCCAUAUAAAUGUUUGUUUCUAAUGAACAAUCUUCAUUGAUGGACCUUUUGGCAAAGGUUCUUGUUUAAUCUUGUUAUAUUCAUGCAGAGGUGCUAGGCUCUGGUGUUGAAGCUGUUGCUGACUUGAAGAAACUCUGAAUUGAGGAUGCUAAAUGAAUCCACAGGUCUGUGAAAUUGUUUGGCCAUUGAGCAUGAAUGAGGUUAUGAGAGCACAAUACUUAUGUGGACUCUGAUAAUUUGACCAAAUAGUAUACAUGACUGGAUGGCCAUGGGCUCAUACAGACGCAAACCAUCUAAUUAUCUAGAUAUAUUUUCCUGAAUUCUAAUUGAAUAAUCUGUCAUCCUAAGAUAGGCUAUGUGGUGGUCUCACUCAUGAAUCCAAAAGCAAGGUGUCAAUUAC